rnacentral:sRNA from 1 species
GCGGUGACAGAGUGAGACCCUGUCUCAAAAAAAAAAAAAGAAAAGAAAAGGAAAAAAACAGUGGAGCCCUUCUGAGCUCUUUCUACCCAGCUCCCUCUGCCGGGUGGCCUGGAGGGCUCCUGGGGGAUCUGUGGUUUGCUGCUGAGCCUGUUGUCUGCUCAUCUCCUCAGGUGUGUGGUUGUGUUGUUCAAUCCCCGGAAACACAAACAGCACCACAUCCUCAACAGUUCCAGGAAAACCAUCACUGCCCUUGCCUUCUCCCCUGAUGGCAAGUACUUGGUCACUGGAGAGAGUGGGCACAUGCCUGCCGUGCGGGUUUGGGACGUGGCAGAGCACAGCCAGGUGGCCGAGCUGCAGGAGCACAAGUAUGGUGUGGCUUGUGUGGCCUUCUCUCCUAGCGCCAAGUACAUUGUCUCUGUGGGCUACCAGCAUGACAUGAUCGUCAACGUGUGGGCCUGGAAGAAAAACAUUGUGGUGGCCUCCAACAAGGUGUCCAGUCGGGUGACAGCAGUGUCCUUCUCUGAGGAUUGCAGCUACUUUGUCACUGCAGGCAACCGGCACAUCAAAUUCUGGUAUCUUGAUGACAGCAAGACCUCAAAGGUGAGGUGCUGAAGCUGGGAGUAGCCACCAAGGCCCUUGGCAGGGCCUGCCCAGCC